CGAGAAGGGCGUUUGGUGGAUGCCUUGGCAGUAAGAGGCGAUGAAGGACGUGAUACUCUGCGAUAAGCUUGGGGGAGCCGAGAAUAGGCUUUGAUCCAUGGAUCUCCGAAUGGGGCAACCCACCUGAAUGUUUGUUAUUGUAGCCUUCGGGCUCUCAAUAAUGGGCAUAACCAGGUACUUUUUACCUGAAUACAUAGGGUUUAAAGAGCAAACCCGGGGAACUGAAACAUCUAAGUACCCGGAGGAAAGGACAUCAAUUGAGACUCCGUUAGUAGUGGCGAGCGAACGCGGAUCAGGCCAGUGCUCUUAUCAAUCGAACUCGAACCAUCUGGAAAGUUGGGCCGAAGUGGGUGACAGCCCCGUAGAGGUAGGAAAGAUAAGAGACUCGAGUAGGGCGGGACACGUGAAAUCCUGUCUGAACAUGGGA
rnacentral:rRNA from 1 species